GAUGAACGCUAGCGGCAGGCUUAAUACAUGCAAGUCGUGGGGCAGCAGGACUGUAGCACUACAGUUGCUGGCGACCGGCAAACGGGUGCGGAACACGUACGCAACUUACCCUGAACUGGGGGAUAGCCCGGGGAAACCCGGAUUAAUACCCCGUAAUAUAAUGGAGUGGCAUCACUUUAUUAUUAAAGCUCCGGCGGUUCGGGAUGGGCGUGCGGCUGAUUAGGUAGUUGGUUGAGGUAACGGCUCACCAAGCCUACGAUCAGUAACUGGUGUGAGAGCACGACCAGUCACACGGGCACUGAGACACGGGCCCGACUCCUACGGGAGGCAGCAGUAAGGAAUAUUGGGCAAUGGAGGCAACUCUGACCCAGCCAUGCCGCGUGGAGGAUGAAGGCCCUCUGGGUUGUAAACUUCUUUUAUAGGGAACGAAACCUGUGUAUUCUUACGCAGUUGACGGUACCCUAGGAAUAAGCACCGGCUAACUCCGUG
rnacentral:rRNA from 1 species